rnacentral:rRNA from 1 species
AACUUUCAACAACGGAUCUCUUGGCUCUCACAUCGAUGAAGAACGCAGCGAAAUGCGAUAAGUAAUGUGAAUUGCAGAAUUCAGUGAAUCAUCGAAUCUUUGAACGCACAUUGCGCCCCUUGGUAUUCCUUGGGGCAUGCCUGUUUGAGCGUCA